rnacentral:rRNA from 1 species
GGGGGGGGGGGGGGGGGGGGCGGGGGGGGGGGGGGGGGGGGGGGGCAGGGGGAAGCGUGCUUCUUUGCUGACGAGUGGCGGGCGGGUGAGUAAUGUCUGGGAAACUGCCUGAUGGGGGGGGAUAACUACUGGAAACGGUAGCUAAUACCGCAUAACGUCGCAAGACCAGAGAGGGGGGCCUUCGGGCCUCUUGCCAUCGGAUGUGCCCAGAUGGGAUUAGCUAGUAGGUGGGGUAACGGCUCACCUAGGCGACGAUCCCUAGCUGGUCUGAGAGGAUGACCAGCCACACUGGAACUGAGACACGGUCCAGACUCCUACGGGAGGCAGCAGUGGGGAAUAUUGCACAAUGGGCGCAAGCCUGAUGCAGCCAUGCCGCGUGUAUGAAGAAGGCCUUCGGGUUGUAAAGUACUUUCAGCGGGGAGGAAGGGAGUAAAGUUAAUACCUUUGCUCAUUGACGUUACCCGCAGAAGAAGCACCGGCUAACUCCGUG